ensembl:snoRNA
UCAGACUGAAAAUGAGCUCAGAUGUGACCGUGGUCUGAGCUCAAGAUACCUGAGCCAAAAGUACUCGGUACAUUAAGCUUAUCGCGUGCUCGGUCCGUCUGCACGCCGAUAAAACCCAUGUGCCUACAAAC